rnacentral:tRNA from 1 species
GAAAAUGAAACCUCUCGAAGCUGCUAACUUUGAGCCUUGCUAUUUUGUAACAUUUUCU